rnacentral:rRNA from 1 species
AUUGAACGCUGGCGGCAGGCCUAACACAUGCAAGUCGAGCGAGCGGCGGACGGGUGAGUAAUGCCUAGGAAACUGCCCGAUGGAGGGGGAUAACUACAGGCAACGGUAGCUAAUACCGCAUACCAUCAGAUGUGCCCAGAUGGGAUUAGCUAGUAGGUGGGGUAAUGGCUCACCUAGGCGACGAUCCCUAGCUGGUCUGAGCGGAUGACCAGCCACACGGGAACUGAGACACGGUCCAGACUCCUACGGGAGGCAGCAGUGGGGAAUAUUGCACAAUGGGCGCAAGCCUGAUGCAGCCAGGCCGCGUGUAUGAAGAAGGCCUUCGGGUUGUAAAGUACUUUCAGCGGGGAGGCGUUACCCGCAGAAGAAGCACCGGCUAACUCCGUGCCAGUAGCCGCGGUAAUAC